GAUGAACGCUGGCGGCGUGCCUAAUACAUGCAAGUCGAGCGAACGGACGAGAAGCUUGCUUCUCUGAUGUUAGCGGCGGACGGGUGAGUAACACGUGGAUAACCUACCUAUAAGACUGGGAUAACUUCGGGAAACCGGAGCUAAUACCGGAUAAUAUUUUGAACCGCAUGGUUCAAAAGUGAAAGACGGUCUUUCUGUCACUUAUAGAUGGAUCCGCGCUGCAUUAGCUAGUUGGUAAGGUAACGGCUUACCAAGGCAACGAUGCAUAGCCGACCUGAGAGGGUGAUCGGCCACACUGGAACUGAGACACGGUCCAGACUCCUACGGGAGGCAGCAGUAGGGAAUCUUCCGCAAUGGGCGAAAGCCUGACGGAGCAACGCCGCGUGAGUGAUGAAGGUCUUCGGAUCGUAAAACUCUGUUAUUAGGGAAGAACAUAUGUGUAAGUACCUGUGAACAUCUUGACGGUACCUAAUCAGAAAGCCCCGGCUAACUACGUG
rnacentral:rRNA from 1 species